rfam:Exophiala sideris strain CBS 121828 unplaced genomic scaffold supercont1.2, whole genome shotgun sequence.
GAGUUGUUAGCUCAGUGGUCAGAGCGACAGGGAUAUAUGCUCCCACUCAGGUUUUGCACAGGCCUAUCGGCCGGGGUGAGCCUGGGGAGCUUAUCACAUAAACCUGGGGUCGUAGGUUCGAAUCCUAUACAAUUCA